GACGAACGCUGGCGGCGUGCUUAACACAUGCAAGUCGUACGGUAAGGCCCUUUCGGGGGUCCUCGAGUGGCGAACGGGUGAGUAACACGUGUGUAACCUGCCCACAACUUUGGGAUAACGCUAGGAAACUGGUGCUAAUACUGGAAAUGUGCUCCUGCUGCAUGGUGGGGGUUGGAAAGCUCCGGCGGUUGUGGAUGGACUCGCGGCCUAGCAGCUUGUUGGUGGGGUAGUGGCCUACCAAGGCGGCGACGGGUAGCCGGCCUGAGAGGGUGACCGGCCACAUUGGGACUGAGAUACGGCCCAGACUCCUACGGGAGGCAGCAGUGGGGAAUAUUGCACAAGGGGCGCAAGCCUGAUGCAGCAACGCCGCGUGCGGGAGGACGGCCUUCGGGUUGUAAACCGAUUUCAGCAGGGACGAAGCUUUUUGUGACGGUACCUGCAGAAGAAGCACCGGCUAACUACGUG
rnacentral:rRNA from 1 species